CUUUCAUACUAGUUUAGAACUUUUAUGUGCAUAUGCAAUUUGUAUCAUCUUCAGGAACUGGCAAAUGGUCAAAACAAGUUUAAUAAUAAGGAGCACACAUAUAGCUUGAUAUCUGAAUUACUUCCCUUGCUGAAACAUAUCUAUAAGAACCAAUUAAAUGAGCUGGAAGUAAAGCAAGGGGAUCAAGAAGGUGGAUUUUCUGGUGUACUUCUUCGAGUAUAUGAGCCUCACAAUGAGCUUGUUAACUGUAAUUAUUGCAGGACUUCACUAGUGGAUUUUCAUAGAAGCUGCUCAAAUUGCUCUUACAAACUUUGCUUAGAUUGUUACG